CUACGGGAGGCAGCAGUGGGGAAUCUUCCGCAAUGGGCGAAAGCCUGACGGAGCAACGCCGCGUGAACGAAGAAGGUCUUAGGAUCGUAAAGUUCUGUUGUUAGGGACGAAGGGUAAGAAUCAUAAUAAGGUUUUUAUUUGACGGUACCUAACGAGGAAGCCACGGCUAACUACGUGCCAGCAGCCGCGGUAAUACGUAGGCGGCAAGCGUUGUCCGGAAUUAUUGGGCGUAAAGGGAGCGCAGGCGGGAAACUAAGCGGAUCUUAAAAGUGCGGGGCUCAACCCCGUGAUGGGGUCCGAACUGGUUUUCUUGAGUGCAGGAGAGGAAAGCGGAAUUCCCAGUGUAGCGGUGAAACGCGUAGAUAUUGGGAAGAACACCAGUGGCGAAGGCGGCUUUCUGGACUGUAACUGACGCUGAGGCUCGAAAGCUAGGGUAGCGAACGGGAUUAGAUACCCCGGUAGUCCUAGCCGUAAACGAUGGAUACUAGGUGUGGGAGGUAUCGACCCCUUCCGUGCCGGAGUUAACGCAAUAAGUAUCCCGCCUGGGGAGUACGGCCGCAAGG
rnacentral:rRNA from 1 species